rnacentral:tRNA from 1 species
GGGGCUGUUGGCUCAGUGGAAGAGCCUCUGCUUUGCGAGCUCAGGGUCCUGUGUUGGAUCCAUGGCAACUCCA